GUCAAUUUACAAGUUCCAGAUUUUUUUCUUUUGCAAACCAAUGGUUCGCUGAAUCUAUCCUCUUCAAUUGUGACUGAAGGUAAGCUUCUGCAACCUCAGAUUCGGCCAUUUUGCUCUAACUAUCAACUAUCAUGUUUUAACAAGCAUUAAACUGGCCGGAUGUUAUGCAAAAACAGAAAUCAAUUCAUUCUUGGAACUGGAGUUUCGGUUGGCCAUUUCAACGAGCAGAUUAGGAGCAUUAAAAGUUUCAUCAAUU
rnacentral:lncRNA from 1 species